rnacentral:rRNA from 1 species
AUUGAACGCUGGCGGCAGGCCUAACACAUGCAAGUCGAACGGUAACAGGAAGAAGCUUGCUUCUUUGCUGACGAGUGGCGGACGGGUGAGUAAUGUCUGGGAAACUGCCUGAUGGAGGGGGAUAACUACUGGAAACGGUAGCUAAUACCGCAUAAUGUCGCAAGACCAAAGAGGGGGACCUUCGGGCCUCUUGCCAUCGGAUGUGCCCAGAUGGGAUUAGCUAGUAGGUGGGGUAACGGCUCACCUAGGCGACGAUCCCUAGCUGGUCUGAGAGGAUGACCAGCCACACUGGAACUGAGACACGGUCCAGACUCCUACGGGAGGCAGCAGUGGGGAAUAUUGCACAAUGGGCGCAAGCCUGAUGCAGCUAUGCCGCGUGUAUGAAGAAGGCCUUCGGGUUGUAAAGUACUUUCAGCGGGGAGGAAGGGAGUAAAGUUAAUACCUUUGCUCAUUGACGGUACCCGCAGAAGAAGCACCGGCUAACUCCGUG